GACGAACGCUGGCGGCGUGCUUAACACAUGCAAGUCGAACGGAAAGGCCCUGCUUUUGUGGGGUGCUCGAGUGGCGAACGGGUGAGUAACACGUGAGUAACCUGCCCUUGACUUUGGGAUAACUUCAGGAAACUGGGGCUAAUACAGGAUAGGAGCUCCUGCUGCAUGGUGGGGGUUGGAUAGUUUCGGCGGUUGGGGAUGGACUCGCGGCUUAUCAGCUGGGUGGGGGGGUAGUGGCUUACCAAGGCUUUGUCGGGUAGCCGGCCUGAGAGGGUGACCGGCCACAUUGGGACUGAGAUACGGCCCAGACUCCUACGGGAGUCAGCAGUGGGGAAUAUUGCACAAUGGGCGGAAGCCUGAUGCAGCAACGCCGCGUGCGGGAUGACGGCCUUCGGGUUGUAAACCGCUUUCGCCUGUGGCGAAGCGUGAGUGACGGUAAUGGGUAAAGAAGCACCGGCUAACUACGUGCCAGCCGCCGCAGUAA
rnacentral:rRNA from 1 species